CUUAAAGUGAAAACUCCAUACAGCUGAGAGGAACUGUCUGUGUUCUCUAGUUCUUACCCUAUCAUUCUCACUGUUCUGAAGUGCAAAAGAAAAAGCUUCAACUUUCCUCUUCAGAUGCCAGUGGCUCCCUCUCUAAGCCUGGCUCUAACCCUUGCAGUCCAGAAAAUGGGGAGGCGCUAAAAGGCAGGAUUAAGUUUCCAGAGAGGACUGCCAGCUAGCUGUGUUUCAGGACUUGUAGGUUAGAAGGAAGUUUGCUGCUCUAAUGGAAGCCUGAGGAGCCCCUCUGGUUGCCAGGCAAGGGCUGAACUCCAAGCCAGGGGCUGCUCUUGGUGGUUAGGGAGCAGUCUCAAACAGGAAGGUGCCAGACAGCCAGAAGAGGCUGGAAGGUACUGUACUGUAGACCCGUACCAGGUGCUCCUGGUGCAGCAGGAGCCCACGGUGCCUGAUGGAGAUGCAGCUUUGGGGCAAUUCGAGAAGGUGCCACACUGGGAUCUACACACAGCUCCAGGAAGAGUGCAGGGGACACAGGGAUGUCUAUGCCUCAGCGAGGCAGUCACCCAGCAAGUGUGUUCCCUGGCCCCCUCGUGCCUGUCUUCCCUUGACUAUCCUUGCUUCCUCUUAGCUUUCAUUUGAAGGCAGCUGAGAGAGAAAUAAACUACCACCUCCCCACCUUGAUUUUGUUUCUUUGCUUUCAACAGUAAAUCAGGAUGGGGUAUGUGGAGAGACUGACAGUUUUGAUGUGAUGAAGGAGGUAAAACUCAGUGGUCCUGCAUGUGCCUCCUGGAGCUGUGCAGAAUUCCCGAGGAAACGUUGACUCUCAACAGGAAUAUCAAGGGAGAUCCCGAGGCUCACGGCUCUCCGCUGGCAUCUGGACAGUGCCUGUCUCCUGCAGCCACCCCGGGCAGCAGAGGCCGGGACCAGCGUUGAGAUCCGCCUGCCAGGACUCGGCCCCUCGAGGUCGGCACCCAGAGCAGUAAGGCAGAAGGCCGUCGCUGCCCCUUCACACCACACGGUUUUCCAGCAAAUACCGAGCUGAUCCCACCGCCUAUGCCCGAGGAGAGCAAAGCAGGGUGCCCUGGGAAGGUGGGAUCCGCGCACUCCAGAAGGCAGGGGCGCAUCAUCAGGGCCCAUCUGGGCAGCCCACCAGUCCCCGUGGGAUCAGUUGCUAUCUCCGCAAUAAUUAGACCCUCUGUCUGGGGGCGUUCCCCGCCAGCCGCAAGGGGGCGCGAAUCCGGGAGCGCUGCUACCCCAGCCUUCCCACUCCGGCACGACUAGGGCCCCGCGGAACUUCACGGGCUCAUUCUCCGAGCCACCGUGGUGGGGCAGGGGGGAUCCGAGACUGUGGGCAUGGAGUUACGGCCGCCUUUGCAUGAUAGCUGGCCGUUGGCCCGGGUUAGGUGGUCACCACCACCCAGUUCUUCUUAAAGCAGAAUCUGUCCCCUCCUUUCCGCCGCCCAAUUCGCUGGAAAUGCACUGGAGGAUGAACUACGGAGCGGAAAGCUGGGUUGAAGCAGAUACAUUUCCAAGCCGUUCACUCUCCUCGCCGCCCGAAGAGUUUGGAGAAGCGGAGUGACUGGGAAUCACAGUGAAUUACCGAACUUCCUAACUUGCCUCCCCGUCUCUGGUCACCUUUUGCCAGCCUUGGACCCGGGAGAGGGCUCACCCUUCGCCGGCAGCCGGCAGCGGCGCUUCCCGCGCGGCGCCGCUGACGCACAGUGAAGACUCAGAGCUUUGGCUGGUCCGGAGACUCCAAACCCGGGUGACCUGGGUAUGGCGCGGUGCUCAUGGGCCAGAGCGCACAAGGCUCGGGUUGCAAAUGCUGUAACUAAAAUGUGAUGAGCGCAAACAGUGUGCCAAGCUCACCUAUUCAACAACCAUUAAGAUAUUGAUAUUUCCUUUUCACGGAGGCGACAGCCAAGGCUGGAGAAAAUGGAAUCAUACAGCCCUGAACCCAGAGGACUCCUACGCACCCCCAGUCAGGGCCCACUCCAGAGCAAUGGGAGAGGGAGCGGGCCCUCGGGCGGCUGUUCCUCGGAAGUGUAAGGGCCAGACAAACUCCGAGCAGCGAGCAGCGGUUCUCAGAGCUCCCCAGGAAUCUCUGCCCUUUGUCGCUCCAGUGAGCUAGGACUCCAGGCUCCUCUCACCCUGGCACCUCCUAAAGGAACUUCAGGGCCUCUGCUGGAGCUUGGAGCAGCGUCAGACCGGCGUUAACUCAUUUGUACAACUUGAUUGUUCAGUCUUUGAAGACCAGCAUCUUGCCUUGUGUGGGUAGACAAUAACAGCCACAUCCAGGACAGGAGCUUUUACUGAAGAUCAUUAUGUGCCAGGCAUUGUCUGAACGCUUUAGUUUUUCUCAUUAAAUAAUUCCAAGGAUCGACAUACUAGUCCUUAUUCCCAUUCGAGGGAAGAAGAACAGAGGCACAGAGGGGUUAAGUAACCUGACCAAGGUCACACAAUAAUUCUGUGAAUACAAGUCUCUCUUUUUUUUGGAGGGGGCAGUUUUAUUAAGAUGUAAUUACACACAGUAAAAUUCACACUUUGCACUGUUCAUGGAGUUCUGAGUUUCCAAAACCACAGUGGUGUGGAUAGCAUCAAAAUCAGAAAGUAGAGACUUUGGAUUACUCAUCCCCUUCCCUGACAGCGUCACUGCUACCCUCUCCAGCUUCUCAGGCAGCAUUGGCUGUAUUUCUGCACAUGACAAAAUGAGGUCGGAGAGGUUGUGGUGUUGCCCAAAAUCCUUCAGUUAGUAAAAAUUCCGGGAAUGGAACCAUUGUAUGUGUCUGCUGGUCCAGCUGCCUGCAGAGUCGAGAUUCCUGAGUCUACCAAGGAAGGAAGGAAGCCCCGAUGCAGGCACAGAUACUUAACCAAAUACCCACUCUCUGGAUGGCUUAGGAACAAAAGAGGGUCGGAUUCUGAGAGGCCCAAAGCCAUGAGCAAAGUAAGCGGCAGGCCCAUGACCUGAGAGCUCAGGGUCUGAGUCCAGCCCUGAGCGCCCAGCCUCCUCUGGCCAGUGCAAUUAAUGAGUUACUCUGCUAGUUAAUGUCCACUCACGGAGGGCCCAGCAGCGCCCUGGGGCCCGAGCUUGGACUCAGACCCUGAGCUUGGAGCAGAACUGGCUAGCUUUUCCUCCUUCAAAAAGGUGGGCACCUCCCUUGCUCUCUCCCACCUGCCCACCAGCCAGAGACCUGGAGCAAUCCUGGCCUUCGAAGGGCAGUUUCCAAGAGGUAGGUGGCUUGUGGAGGAUGCCACAGGACCUGACUUGGCCCUUGAGCCAUCUCUCAUCUGCUCUGCCAAAAUUUUCCCCCAGAACAAGAGGUUGAGAGGCCCGGUCACCAGCUGGCUCCCUUAGAACACUUGCCCAGUGUCCUGGCUAAAGAGGUGAAAGCUACCGGUUACACCUUAAGGACCCAGUGCUGAACAUUUUACCUACAUUUACUUACCACACACUGCUGGGGUCUCACCAGGACUGUAGUCCCCUUGGUCAAUGACUUUUAUACCCCCAGCCAACAUUGCUAAUGCCAACUGCAAUAAAUGGCCAUUUCCCGCCCCAUGAUCUGGGCGGGCUUUCAGUGGCCUUGGUUUGGAGCACUGGAGGCUGAAUGCUGAAGCCUGGCUCUACCCUGCAGUCCUACAGAAGAUCACACAGAAAAGUGGCCUCUCUCUCUUACCUCAGGAUCCUGGUUGCAGUCUGCCCAAACUGGGUGUUUGUUUCCAGCUUCAGAAACUCUAGGACUGACUCCUACCUCUACUGGAGCUUGCUGGCCCAAAGACCUCCACCCUUCACUUCAUGGGGACUUCAAGGCUCCUUGCUGGCGCAGGCAAGUGGUGCCUCUGUCUCCACAGCCUAGUCAGGGGUACUGCCUGCCGGGCCCGGAGAAAGUAUUUUGGGGGAUGACGGUCCAGGCCUGAGGAGAGUAGUCUUUGGGUUCACCUGCAUGCCAAGGUGCUGGACCCAAUGCUCAGAAUCUGAGUGUGGAAAAAAAGGUCCAAAGCAUGGCCACCUGGAACAAAGAGGGAGAACUCAGGCAGGGCCCCAGCCUGGAGCCAUGGUGCAGAGGUCCAAAGCCUGAGGCAGCAGCCAGUUUAUCCCACAGUGAGGCCAAAGCUGAGGACCACAAGGAUCCCCAGAGUAAAUGUGUGUGUGUGUGUGUGUGUGUGUGUGUGUGCACCCGCAUGCUUAUGUGCCCUGAAAAGAUCGAGGGGUACAAGACAGGUGAUCUCUGGAGCUCCCAGCUAAUCUAUUUGGAACUCCAACAACACCAGAAAGCACCUCUCCCAACUUCUCUUUUGUCUGGAAGGUUUCUCAAGGAUGUUUCUGGUCAUUUCCCCCUCCUCCACACAACACAGUACAGUACCUGGAAUAAAGUCAAGAAAUUGGUAGAACCAAAUACAUAGCAGUGGAUGAGACCAGCGGAGGUAAAGAGAAGACCAGAGGGCAAGGAAUGGAGAAGCUGGGGGACCCUGGAGCAUGUCCUAGGACUCCUGAUCCUUGGUUGAAUCUGGUGGAGUUGCGGCUUCCCUUUUGGGGUCUGUACUUCUCCUGAUAGACUUCUCCCAGGUCUCACAGCAACCUAGCCAGGAAACACAGGCAUUUCUUCCUCCUUAAAAUAAAUGACCCAGGCCUGGUUGUAAUAGAUUUAAAAGACGCCAGCAUUUUUUAUUAUUAAUUGCAAAAUACCUGCUGGUACUUCACUUUAUAAGAAUGUAAUUGGCAAAAGGGAGGGGGAGAGGAAAAAAGAGGCGGCUGAUGAAUAGAUAAUAGAUCUUUAACCACCAAUAAACAGAGAGCAGCGCCAGCAGCCUGGGGGAUGUGAUCAUAAUUAUGCCACAGCACGAGCCAAUGGGGACCGAGAACUCGGCCCUAAAAUCAUCCCAAAACUGAAGGCGAGCUCGAAAAUGCGGACACGGCCUGGAACUGGAGACGCGAUCUGCAGUCUCUAGUUGAGAGUCCUGGAUUUGCACUGCAACCCAGCCCUGGGACAACAGAUGGCAGAAUAAUAAUAGAAAUAAUAAUAACAACAGCAAGAGCAGCAGUAACAGUAACAAUGUCAGCACUAAUACAAACAAUAACGACCACGAAAUAAUAAUAGUACCGCAUCAGCUUCUCCCUUGUCCUAGGAGCCUGGAUCCCAGUGGCCCACGAGGAAUUGUUUUAGGGAACAAGGCGAGCACCCUCUCAGACAGAAAAAGCGGGAGGCUGUGCAGUGAGGGCGGGUGUGAGUUGGAGUAGGAGGCCCACGCCUACAGGGUUGGCAGCUCCCGCGUCCCAAUUCGCAAACGAACGAGCCGGGUCAAGGAAAGCGAACGCGCAGACUCUGCGACCUCUGAGCUACCGGUGGUUGGGGUGGGACACUGGGACCCCCCCCCCCACACACACCGCAGGGAAUUUUGCUGGGGUGGGGAUUGGUCCAGUCUAACGGAGCCUUUAGCCCUCGCCCGGAGCCAUUCCCCACCCGCUUACCCGCGCAGAACCCCCGGGCGAUCUCGGCUCCACCGACGCGGGCCGCGGAGGGCAGCAGUGGCAGAGCGGCGAGCGAGAGGAAUCUCCGCGUCUGUCUGUCCGUGUGUCCUACCAGCUCCGGCGCAGCGGGCUCGGGUCCCGGGGCCCGCGUGGAGGCAGGCGGCCAGGCCCGGGGAAUCUGCAGGGACCCUGGUGCCCCAGAGGGAGUGGUGCUGGUAGAGGAGGAGGCGAAGGCUGAGGGGGAGGGGAAAGAGGAGGAGGAAGAAAAGAAGGAGGAGAAGAAAGAGGAAGAG
rnacentral:lncRNA from 1 species